ensembl:lncRNA
GGAAGGAUGGCUGCAUGGAUGGACGAAGGAUGGCUGCAUGAAUGGAUGGAUGGACGGAAGGAUGGCUGCAUGGAUGGGUGGAUGGACGGAAGGAUGGCUGCAUGGAUGGAUGGAGAAGUGGAUGGUUAGGUGGAUGGAUGGAUGGAGGGAUGGAUGGGAGGCUGGGAGGAUGGCUGCAUGGAUGGACGAAGGAUGGCUGCAUGAAUGGAUGGAUGGACGGAAGGAUGGCUGCAUGGAUGGGUGGAUGGUUGGGAUGAUGGAUGGAGGGAUGCUGGAUGGCUGGAUAGCUAGAUGGAUGGAUGGACGGAUGGAUGGCUUCAUGUUUGGAUGGAGGGAUGGGAGGAUGAAUGGAUGGAUCGAUGGUCAAACAAACUCCGUAUUGACCCAGGAAUCGUUUCCUGUUCUAAACCCAAACUUAACUUGGAAUCGCUUCAAGCUACGUUUUGUAACCUAUUUGCACCCAAAAGGUGUUUUUGCUUUUUGGGGUCACCUUUUGAAGUGUAUGGAUACCCAACGUGGAAUGACCAAAAGUCUGUGUUUAACAGUUCUGAACCCUUUGAAAAGGUUCAUAUACACCGAAAGAUCUAAACAUAUUAAAACACCUUUCUCAUAUUAAAUCAAAUCAAAAUAGUUUGAACAUUUUAGGGCCAAAACCAGUGUCUCUAAAAGCUGAAUAGAAAUCAACCUUUUUCCCUGUUUUGCAUAGAUUCAGAAUGAGCUCAGCCACUUCUUUGUUUCUUUUAACAAAACAUCUCUGCUACAUUCAUCUGAAAAUCACUCUUGGCUGAGUUUGCCUCUUAGCUGAUGCUUCGUGUGUCUUUGUUUGGUAUCCGCUCUCUCUCUCUCACACACAUAUGAACUCCAGGAAGUAUCAUCUUGCUCCAAACAAGCGGAGGGGAAAUGAAAGCUGGGGGUUGAAUCACUGGUUUACUUCGCUGCCUGUUUUUGUAAUGGCGGGUUUUAAAAAGGGAACCAGGGAUUGUAAAGAUCAGCCUGAAAGCCGACGCCGGGGUGACAUCAUGACCUCAGAAAAUGACAUGCAGCUAAAAAUGGACAAGGGCCUUUGAAGAAGAACAGGCCCCAGUAAAGAUGAUUACCUCCCUGUCGGCUGUGAUUUAAAGCCAGCUUCUCCAUCUCACGGUCAAAUAUUAGCGAAACGAGACUCUCCGUGCGAAAUCCUGCCAAGAUUCUUUCCAUCUUCACAAUACAAAAAGGUGUUUUAGUGACCUCCACUAACCAUUAGCGCCAGGAGGGAGGUGCUGAGGGGGAUGGAGCUUGAUGUACAGCCAUGAAAGUAUCACAACAUCUAUGUGUUCCUUAACUCCGAGACAAGUUUAGAUGCACUGCUAAACAUUAUUAGUCGAUGCAAACUAGGGGAAAAAAGAUCUGGUAAAUAGAGUAGCAGGCCCUCAGGCUGUUCAUAUGUUUUAUAAAUUAAUUAUUAAUUAAUUGUGAAUGUUUUCACAAUGUACGUUUACCUCUUUACAAUAAAUGAAAGAGAAACAUCGUCAAAAUGCUUUUAUUUAGGGAUUAUUAUGAAAUGGUUUUUACUGGUUUGGCCCAUUUUAAAUAGUAAGCAACCAACUAAAAAUAGGCACCAUGGAAAAAAGUAACAGGCCAUCCAGUGUUGGCUGGAGCGAGACUGCAUGCUAUCUGUGGAUCUCAGUAAUUCCACUCCAAGUGUGAUAUGGAAGCAAAGAAAGUUAACAACGAAGCCUUAGGCCAAACCAGUGUAGUUGUGGAAAGGAAUUUAUGACAUACAUGCGUUAACAUGAGUCUAAGCAGUCUCUGUUUUGUCGACACAGUUCAUCUGUUGAAUGACCUCAUUGGUCGCUGCCUUGUUUGGGCCUCGGGGAAUGUUACUCUGAUUCCUCAUUACGGGGCCCAACACCCGAUGUGUGCGUGGCACUCAUCGCGUGACUUUCUCCUACCACGUUUCUCCCCGUCUAGAGUUCCUAGAGCUCUUCCAUGGUCCCGCGGCGGCAGAUCGGGUUGCUCCCGGACGUGCUUGUUGGUUUCCGAUCAGACGGUCGGAGGGGGCAACCGCCGUAUCGUCACCAUUAGGGUGCAGAGAGGUGAGGCAAGGGCCAACGAGAGACAGCUGUCAACACCCGGAUUCCAACGUGCUACCGCUCGGUCGAUGACAGAAACCUCUGGAUCAGAUCCAUGAAACAUCAGCAACUUAAAUAUGCACAUGAUGGACAGAACCAUUGGACUGUAUAAUAUUUAUGCGAUGUCAAAAGAUCCUUUUCACGACAACACCUGCGUGCUUUCUGUUAUUUUCAACCGCUUUGGACAGACGCGUUUUAACCAACAAGCAGUGUUUUUGGAAGCCCACUAAGGGGGAUGUGAGUUAUUGGGAAUAGCAGGCAGACACUCCACACCAGCAGGGGGGUGCUAUGCAAUUCUAUAUAGUAGAUGUAUGCAUGAAGAAAUAAACUAAUGUAGAACUGUAAUUAAAUGUGGUCGGUGGUCAUUCAGAAUGGUCUCACUCCAGCAUACUGUUGCUAUAUAUAAUAAGUCUACUAUAGCUAACUAAGGAAAGUCACUACAGGGGACAAAAACUGUACCCCAAAAUGUACUCUAUCAUCUCAGAGCUCUCGGUUAAAAAAUGAAUAAAUAAAUAAAACCUCCUAGUGUGUUGUGUUUCUAGGCCUAAUAAAACGAUUGAAAGUAUUUUACAGGUGUAAUAAGCUGGGCUGUUCUGAAAAGCCGUAAACAAAGCGAUGACUCAGCCGUUGUUCCUUUCUCCUCUCACUGGAUCCCCACACAAACACAGACCUCGACUCUCUGGUAUUUACUUAUCACUGUUACGGCACAACAGGGAACUGUAAAUAUAGGUGAGUUCUCCAAUGUUUUUCUGCUCCGUUGGUACCAGAUCAAAAUCCCACGGUUAAUAGUUUUACUACAAAUUGUUUGUUUGACAGCCAGAGGGCUGUAAACACUGCUUCUCACGGACCGACAGGUAACGCAUUCACGAGACACUUCGGUUGACUUAUCAGGACUGAAGUUAAGUUUGGAUUACAUUAUCUGCAUUGGAAGCUUGGCUGCAAACAUAUAUUAUAAAUUUCAACAAUUUUGUCAGCAAAUCCCAGAAAAAGCACAAAGGCAACAAUGAAUUAUUGACAAUCAAAGACAUUUAGUGGUUUGGUAUCAGGUAAAAGUUGCGCUACAUAAAUGGCUUCAGGUUGGGUUGACUGGGGGCCUCCCUCGCUCCUCCCAGUUAUCUCAUGUGGGCUUACAUCAUACCAUUACCAUUGGCCAAGUAUUGAUGGCAAGGUUUUGAGAAGAAAACGUAGGGCUGUCCAAACCAAAAAUACAGGACUUGCUCAUCGUCUGACUUUCCACAAAAUUACAUUCCCAAUAUUCCCAGUAGGAUAAUCCAAAUGUCCAUGUUUUGUAAUCGUGUUAUUGUGAUUUCAUUCUUGGUGGUGCAUCGUCUCCUCUGAAGCUCUCCAGGAACAAAACCAGACCUUGAAAACUGAGAAAAGCUGGCGGCCAAUGUGGGGAUCUGCUCAGUGUUCGAGCCGCACGCAGAUCAAUAUUUUCGCUGUAAUUCCAUCAACCGUCAUUACGGCUCCACGGCCGGAGGGUGUUUGUGGGUUCGGGCAGGCGGAGACAUAGAGAGAGAUACGGAGAUUAGUCGCAGAGAAGUUCCAGAGACGAAGAAGAAAGUUGGCC